AUAGUUUUCGGCCCACAUAAAAACUGAGGUGGAAUUUGCCACAUCAACAAAUUAUAAAAUAAUUAUAGAAUAAAUUAUGUCUUUAGCAUUAUUCUUAAUUUUUUCCAUAGUGUAAACUGUGAACAUUCAUAAUUAUUAAAUACCAAAUAAUUCACACAUAAUAUUAGCGAGCAACACACCGACCCAAAAAAGGAAAGAAGAAAAAAAGUGCAGAGCAAAGCAGAAAAACAUAUAAUUGAGAAUCAUAGCCACAUCCUCCUAUCCCAAUAAGGCAAGAAUUCGAAAACUUAAGAAAAUAGGCAGACUAUAGAUUUGUCAAAUGCUUUGUUGGGUUGUUCACAUCAAGGCCAUAAACACAUAAUAAUCCAACAGCCAACUAAAAGCUUGUUGGAUUGUCAAGGAGAGAAAAAUGAUGAAGAAUUCCCGCUUCUAGCCGCACUCUAUUCUUACAUAAAUCAAGCGGUCAAAAAGAAGCACCCACUCUAAAGUUAGCUUUUGUUCUAACCUGGUCUUAUAUCUCUACCUAUCUGAAUGUCGAAGAUGCAACAACCACUCCAUAUGACAUCGGGAGAGAGUGUAAUGGCAUCUGAUCUCAUUGAAUUUAUGAGCGUUCACCCGAGCUUGACCUUUUAUUUAUAUUAUACAAUCACUUGACUUUGCGAAAGACAUACCCGGUUGAGUUCAAUGACAAGAGGGAAGAAGCCCUUGUUCUACCAUUGAUUCACCUUCUUCCCAUGACAUCGACCUAAUCCCAACCAAUCCAACAAGCAAAUUCAUAGGUCUGGUUGACUUGAAAAUAAGAAACUCUCAUCUGAGAACGAGUUCACCCGCCAUUCAUUAAUCGAUUGCUAUCAGUGAAUUUGCAACAAGUCAAAUGAAACUAAUGUAUUAAUUAGUAUGUCCUUAAAAGGAUUGCUGGAUUGGUAUUGACUUUAGAUAAUUGAAGGAAAUAGAGAGACAUUUCUUGUAAAGGUGUAGGCAGGCACCUUAUAGGUAUUUAAAUUAUUUUAUUUGUUUGGACUUUUCAAACCCUUGAAUUAAAC
rnacentral:lncRNA from 1 species